UAUCAGUGUUUGCUCCCGCUAACCAAGACCUAUGGGAGGAUAAAUUACGUCUUUUUACCUGCAAGUGAGGGAUUUGCAGGAAUAAGUUUCGCA
ncrna:unclassified sequences PhotoRC-II RNA